AUGAACGCUGGCGGCGUGCCUAAUACAUGCAAGUCGAGCGAACAGACGAGGAGCUUGCUCCUUCGACGUUAGCGGCGGACGGGUGAGUAACACGUAGGUAACCUACCUAUAAGACUGGGAUAACUUCGGGAAACCGGAGCUAAUACCGGAUAAUAUUUCGAACCGCAUGGUUCGAUAGUGAAAGAUGGCUUUGCUAUCACUUAUAGAUGGACCUGCGCCGUAUUAGCUAGUUGGUAAGGUAACGGCUUACCAAGGCAACGAUACGUAGCCGACCUGAGAGGGGGAUCGGCCACACUGGAACUGAGACACGGUCCAGACUCCUACGGGAGGCAGCAGUAGGGAAUCUUCCGCAAUGGGCGAAAGCCUGACGGAGCAACGCCGCGUGAGUGAUGAAGGUCUUCGGAUCGUAAAACUCUGUAUUAGGGAAGAACAAACGUGUAAGUAACUGUGCACGUCUUGACGGUACCUAAUCAGAAAGCCACGGCUAACUACGUG
rnacentral:rRNA from 1 species